GGGAGCGACCUGGCGACAAGGCAAAAAGUAGAGGGUGCAGAGGGUAGGUCCCUAUUCCAGGAGGCAGAGGAGGAGGAGGAGGCGGUUGUCUGGCUUCCUGGAUAAGUCAGACCUGGAAUGGUGGGGAGAGGUCAGGCGAGGAUCUUCAGUCAGCAGAGCCCACCUGGGGUAAAAACAUGGAGCUCAGACAGGCGUGCAGGGCCCGGAAAGGCACCAUUGCACCAGCUUGUCGCAGGGUGCACCAGCGACUGCUUUUCCUUGUUCCUCCGGUUAGCCGCAUUCCUCUCCCUGAACCAGCAUUUUGACAACACGUCCUUAGGGCCAUCACUGAAACUUAGAGGGGUGCCAUCAUCCUCACACCCAAGGCUGAAGUUUUCCAUGGGUGGCCGGUGCCAUGCCCUGUGCUUCCCAGCCUGCCUGUCCCUGGGAUCUUCCUUUUGGUGAUAGGACUGGCUCGUCAAGAUCAGGUUUUACCCCAAUGCAGUCUCUGGAGGUGCACUGGCUGUUUUGUGUAUGAACUGCAGUUCCUGGCGAUUCUGAUUUCAAUGUGAAAAUCUAAUAUUCUAAAGGACUCUGUGGAUCACUAUGUAAUUUUCUAAACAGGGGUUGUAAAAGUAACUUUCUUAGUCACAUGCCUGCAAACCCCACUGCUUCCCAAACUCUGUAAUCAGGAGAAGGGCUGACCUAGUGAAUACCCUUGGAUGACUGGAGGGAAAAAAAAUAGUCUACACAGGAAAUCUCUACUUCAAACUCAUGGGCUUGCAUAGCUCAGAAAUCCCGGGGGCAGACUAAUAGCUAGUGGGGUUGUAUCUUUAUUUGAGCAGAAACAGACUUUCAGGAAUUUUCCAUGGGAACUUGCCCUCAUCCGUCUAGGGUAAACCUUAAAUGAAAAUACGGGCUACUGGCCACCUCGAUGAAAAGGAGGGGGUAUUUUUGUUUUCCUUCUUAUCCUCUUAGCACAGCCAGGAGGAAUACCCUGUGCUGUUGCAUGUACCAAAAUGUUCCCAGAUUUUCUCAACAGCAUACUUUAAAAUAGAACAGCAGCGUGGAAAAUAAGUAAAUAAAUACAAAGAACGUGUCAGAGAAACCCUCUAGAUCUCCUGAACACAGUUGAGUUAUCUCUGCAAAUUAGGCUGGAGAAAAUUCUGCUUAGCAUGGUGCACAUCAGCCUACAGAGAAAACACGUCGUGGAGAAGUGAACUUGCCUGACCCAGCUUGGGCGGACGUGCUGAUGGGGAUAUCUGGGCGAAAUGAAAGCUGUUUAUCUACUACUGUCUCUUAGCGUGACCAGCAGCACCUAGAACAUGGGACUCACAGACACAAGCUUCUCCGCUCUGGAUCCCUAAAAUUUCAACUGGUAGAAAACCAGCUGCAGAAGAUGAGAUCACAGAAGGUUGUCCCAUUCCUCCCCAACCCAGACCACACAGGCCAGUGAAUUGCAGACAGGGAAAGGCAAGGAAAUGUCAGCAAUUAUUAAUGAAUCCCUUCAAAGACCUCAAUCCUAGAUGGGUAAUUCAGCAGAAAUCAAGACCUAGCUCACUUUUUUUUUUUUUUUGAGAUGAAGUCUUACUCUGUUGUCCAGGCUGGAGUGCAGUGAUGGAAUCUUGGCACACUGCAACCUCCACCUCCUGGGUUCAGGCGUUUCUCCGGCCUCAGACUCCCAAGUAGCUGGGACUGCAGGUAUGCACCACCAUGCCUGGCUAAUUUUUGUAUUUUUAGUAGAGACGGGGUUUCACCAUGUUGGCCAGGCUGGUCUCGAAUUCCUGACCUCAGGUCAUCCAUCUGUCUUGCUCUCCCAAAGUGCUGGGAUUACAGGCGUGAACCACCACACUCGGCCCAUCUCACUUUUCAAAAUAAAAAUGGCACAGGGUCUCUUUUCCAACGUGAAACUCUUCAUUUCAGAAAGAUGUUCUAUAAAUGAUGAACACUCACAAUUCUGGAGUUCACACCAGGAGGGAGCCCUAAUGAAAACUACGGACUUUGGGUGACUUCAAUGUCUCCAUGUGGAUUCAUCUGUUGUAACAGACGUCUCACCCUGCUGAGAGAUAUUGAUCAUGGAAGAGCGGGUGUGUGUGUAGGAAAGGGAUAUAUAAAAAUUUCUGUGCCUUCUGCUCAAUUUUGCAGCUCAGACUGCUCUAAAAAUAAAGUCUAGUUUUUAAAAGUCUAUAUUUAAAGAGUUGAGACUCUUUCUUUCCCG
ensembl:lincRNA